CCGCGCGGUUCGCUUCAAGCAAAAACUUUACGCACAGUCCGGACACUUUUCAAACUCUUCGGAUCCAAAAGCCGCUGAAAACCGAGAGCAAACCGGGAAGGACCUCUCGGCCCUCUGACUCCUCCGCUGCACCGUUGAAGAAACGGAGCCCAGCAGCCUCCGGCGGCCACGCUCGGGCCGCAGCGCCCCCUGGUGUUGGCUGCGGGGAGGACGCCACGGACGGGUCCGGAUUCGAGGCCCGGCUCCGCCUGAGGCCGCAGUGGUCACAAGAAGGCAGGAAAUGGAAAAAAGGCCCCAAUUCACAGCCAAGCUGAAGGAAAACAGCUGUGGAAAAAGUUGUUGUGAAACAGGAAAAUCGAAAACUUAAAAUGUUUUCUAGUUUCAAAACCAAGUUGGUUUGUUUGUUAAUCUUUUUAUUUGAGUAUUGAGGCCACUGUUUUUCUGACCAUACUGAGACCGUAAACCUGGAACAAUGACAAUCCUACACCUUAAUUUAAAGGUCAACUUUCAGCCUUAGAAGCUUCAAACACAGAUUAGAAGUAAUAAGCGCUGUCUGCUCCAAGUCCGGUUUGCUGCAGAAACUGCAAAAGCUUUAGUCUCAAAACUCAAGGUUUCUGUGUUGAUGCUUCAUCGGAUUUUAAUUAUGAUCAUGUCGUAUGAACGUGUCUGGUUCAAAUGCACAGCUGUGAAAUGAGCAGAGCUUCGUCUUAGAGACGCCAUCAAGGUGUUUAUCUGUGGCUGCAGAGUUUCCAUCAUGUCGCCAUAAAAUUGUGUUAACACAGACGUUUUUGGAUUAUUAAUGAUUUCAACAAUGUUUGAGAAAAUAUUAGAAAAAAGGAAGGGAGAGCAGAUCAGUUUAUGACUAAUCUGCAUCAUUUGAAAAACUACAAGGACAUCAUUUGAAAGACUACAACUCCCUUCAGGCUUAGGGUUACAGCAGGUCCAUUGCUCCUCACCCUCAUCGUAAAACGCCCACCCACUCUCUCCCCCUUUCUGAACUCCUCACAUCUCUUCCUCUUUUACUUAUUUGGUUGUUCUAAUUAAAGUUUUAUCUUAACGAG